rnacentral:rRNA from 1 species
UACGGAGGGGGCUGGCGUUGUUCGGAAUUACUGGGCGUAAAGCGCGCGUAGGCGGCUUUGUAAGUUAGAGGUGAAAGCCCGGAGCUCAACUCCGGAACUGCCUUUAAGACUGCAUCGCUAGAAUUGUGGAGAGGUGAGUGGAAUUCCGAGUGUAGAGGUGAAAUUCGUAGAUAUUCGCAAGAACACCAGUGGCGAAGGCGGCUCACUGGCCCGGUACUGACGCUGAGGUGCGAAAGCGUGGGGAGCAAACAGG